rnacentral:rRNA from 1 species
UAUUUGUCAAUGGACGCAAGUCUGAACCAGCCAUGCCGCGUGCAGGAUGACGGCUCUAUGAGUUGUAAACUGCUUUUGUACGAGGGUAAACCCCGAUACGUGUUUUGGGUUGAAAGUAUCGUACGAAUAAGGAUCGGCUAACUCCGUGCCAGUAGCCGCGGUAAUACGGGGGAUCCGAGCGUUAUCCGGAUUGAUUGGGUUUAAAGGGUGCGUAGGCGGUUUGAUAAGUUAGAGGUGAGAUGUCGGGGCUCAACCCCGAAACUGCCUCUAAUACUGUUGGACUAGAGAAUAGUUGCGGUAGGCGGAAUGUAUGGUGUAGCGGUGAAAUGCUUAGAGAUCAUACAGAACACAGAUUGCGAAGGCGGCUUACCAAACUAUAUCUGACGUUGAGGCACGAAAGCGUGGGUAGCAAACAGGA